GAGUCAGUUGGGAACCUGACGAGUCUCCAAAUUCUUGACUUGCGCUUGUGCUCAUCUCUGCAGACACUUCCAGAUUCGGUUGGGAACCUAACGGGACUC
rnacentral:pre_miRNA from 1 species